rnacentral:rRNA from 1 species
AUGAACCGGUGCUUGCAUCGGGGAUUAGUGGCGAACGGGUGAGUAACACGUGAGUAACCUGCCCUUGACUCUGGGAUAAGCCUGGGAAACUGGGUCUAAUACCGGAUAUGACCUUCCAUCGCAUGGUGGUUGGUGGAAAGCUUUUGUGGUUUUGGAUGGACUCGCGGCCUAUCAGCUUGUUGGUGAGGUAAUGGCUUACCAAGGCGACGACGGGUAGCCGGCCUGAGAGGGUGACCGGCCACACUGGGACUGAGACACGGCCCAGACUCCUACGGGAGGCAGCAGUGGGGAAUAUUGCACAAUGGGCGCAAGCCUGAUGCAGCGACGCCGCGUGAGGGAUGACGGCCUUCGGGUUGUAAACCUCUUUCAGUAGGGAAGAAGCGAAAGUGACGGUACCUGCAGAAGAAGCGCCGGCUAACUACGUGCCAGCAGCCGCGGUAAUACGUAGGGCGCAAGCGUUAUCCGGAAUUAUUGGGCGUAAAGAGCUCGUAGGCGGUUUGUCGCGUCUGCCGUGAAAGUCCGGGGCUCAACUCCGGAUCUGCGGUGGGUACGGGCAGACUAGAGUGAUGUAGGGGAGACUGGAAUUCCUGGUGUAGCGGUGAAAUGCGCAGAUAUCAGGAGGAACACCGAUGGCGAAGGCAGGUCUCUGGGCAUUAACUGACGCUGA